GUUGCAAUGAAGCUUAAAGAAAAAUGUCUAAGAAAGUGAUAUGCAAGGGAUGCUUGAAGAAGCCAGGAUUCCAACUAUACAAAGUUUCCUUUAACCAUCGGAAAGAAUUUUUAAAGCAAUAUACAUUUUAAGGAAUGGGUAACUUGGACCCCUGAAAAAUUUUUUUUGUCAAAACUAUCAUUGUUCUUCACGUGAAACAUUAUAUAUACAUGUAAUACAAAAGGUAGUCGAUCAAUUUGUAAUCAACUUUCAUCUAUCACCAGAACCUUCCAAAAACUGUAUGACUUUGUCUUGUGUUCAUAUUUCUUGUGUUCAUAUUUGUUUUCUCCAAUUCCAAUCUCUAAGCAAAAGGAUGAUGACUUCUGAAAAAACAACCACACUUAACCCAGAUUUCAAAUUGUGAUUAGUGCCCAACAAUGUCAAGUAACUCUCUUGUAGAAGAGGACAUAUGCAGCAGACGUUUUGAUCCUAUCCUCGCUAACAGAAGAAACAUUCUCAUCAUCAAAUUCAUACCACCUACAAUGGCCAUGAUCAACAAAUGCAGUAUAGUGACCACCUCCCAUGCCUCCAUAAUGAUUACUUAUAGCAUACAGUUCAUAACGAUUAGAAAAUUGGCCAUCCUUGUGAGCCAUGUAAGUUGAAAGAUCAAAAUCCUCAACUGGGAAGUCAACAUAUGUUUCCAGCUUGUUCUUAAUGAUUCGACUGUAUGAGAACCUCUUUAAAUGAACAACCAAUAUUUCUGGCAAUCUCCACAGAUCCAACUUUUUACUAGCUUGUCGAGGCCUUUUACAGCUGGGACAGUACCACAUGUCUUCUGGUCCCAAAGGCUCUUCCUUCAAAAAUGCUUCUAGGCAUUUAUACAAAGAAACAGACUCUUGAGGCCUCCUUGCGCAAAACUGCGACUUAAAAACCUCAGGCAAAGAGCUAAGAACGUAUGUAUCAUAUCUCUCAACCAUCUUUUCAGACCAGAGAACAUGCACUUCUAAUCUAUUGUUAUUUGGAACCGGUAACGGUUUAUUCAUCUUUAUUUCUGUCAAUCCACCAUGAUCAUCUUUGAUACAGAACUGAAAAUCAGUACUGAAUGGAGGGUCACUAUUUGUUUCACCAUCAGAGUCUGCAUUACUAUCAGACACAUUUGGGCUAGGGACAUCCUCCAUCGCAGAAUCUUCAUUAGCUGUGAUUCCCGAUUCAUCACCAUCAUUUAAUACAUCAUCAGCAGGCAUUAGAAAUGGAUUAAGCAGUUUCAGAUACUUUCUACGGAGAUCAAAUCCAUUAGAAAGAUCAGACAAUCUUGCUACAAGAGGAAUGCCAAAUAACUUCCAAUUUGGGGCUGCUCUCUCCAAUACAGAGGGCCUGUCCAUUAGUUCAUGCAUAAACACAACCAAGGGGGAUGCCUCAUUAACUUUGGGCAACUGAUAGGCAACAAGAUUGUCAUCAUCUCUGAUCAAAGCUAAUGAAUCAGAUGGCUCCUCCAGGAAACGGAAUAUUUUAUUCUUGUAUAUCUCAACCACUAGCAGGGUUUUGUCAUUUCUUAAGGAACAUGCAGUGCUCAAGGCAUCAAUAAGAUCCUUUAACCUCCCACAAUUUGGCACAGAUACAGUAAUAGGAGAAUGCAGGGUAAUCCCAUCACUGCUCAACAUGGUCAAAGUCAUAGUCCGCAUUGUUGUCGAGGGUAAUGGCAGUGAUAGGUACAUAAAUGGAUCAAAUGUAACAGACUUCUGCUUGCAAAUGGGGCAAACCAAUGUUGAACGAUAUUGACCUUGGUACAAAUCAACUAUAAUGGAGUCAUUGCGAGCCAGGUGAUUCUGCCAAUAUUCAUCUGCCACUUCUUUGUCUGAACGGUUAUCUGCAUCUUUCACUUCUAUGUACGGCUUGCAUUUCACAUGAUUCAAAUCUUCAUGCAGUCCAUCCAACAAAAAGGAAAGAAAUUCUUGAGAAUCAUGCUGAUUAUAUCCACUGAACUGAGGAGCAAAUUUAGCAAGUUUUAGCUUGAACAUUCUAGGAGCAACUGGGGAUGCCCCUGGAGCCCAUAGCUUCCUUAAUAAGUCUCCAAAUGCCAAAGCAAGCUCACCAUUCAUCCCUAGCGGAUUUUCACGAUUUAUCUCUUUUCUGUAAUCUCUUAGAAAAUAAUCAACAAGCUUUGGAGUGUGUGCCAAGCACUGAAUUGCACUAUUCAUGAAACAUGUAUUCCCAAGAUUCUGUAAUCCUGUCAAACCCAAGAAACGAACUCUUCUAUAGCCAUACCCAGAAACUGGUGAGUUUUUGGGCAUUGAAAAGGAGUUCAUGUAAUCACUGGUUCCAUUCAUUUUAACCGAACCACUGCUGAAGGAACUAUCUUUUCUGUCAUGUUCUAUCAUCUCAUCUGCACUUUCAUCCCUACUAUUCUUGGAAUCUGAAAAUCCAUGGACUUGCAAUUCAAGGAGAAUCUCUUCAGCAAAUUGUCCCAUAGAACCAUUAGGCAAGUUAAUCCUCUCAUUCACAAACUGGGUUGUUUGCCCUGAGAAGUCCCAAAUGUGCACCUGCUCAGCCUUGGAAACAAAAAUAUCACAGGCUUUCCUGUAAAAAGCAAUCAUAUUGUCCUGUAAAAUUGAAGUCAAUUGUGAAGUGAAAAGAAGUAGACUAACAAAAGAAUAAAUUCUAGAAUUGAGCAUCAGUAAUUGCCAAAAAAUAUAAUAUACAUUUAUACUCCGUAAUUGCAAUGAAAUUUCAGUAUAUGCUCACCUUAAUGUAAUUGAUCUAACUGAAAGACAUGUUGGCAAGGCCUUACAAAAAUUUUUCUGUAUGUGAAUGCCUCUUCUAAUUUAAUUCCCAUGUACAUUGUGUUUAAAAGGAUGUCAGAUACAGAUUCAGUGUUUGAAGAUAUGCAACUCAUUCACGAAUCAUCAUUCCACAUGUCAGCCAUAAAAAUUCAAUAACGACAGCAAUUACAACAAAGAGAAAAAAGCCAGAAUAGAAAACUUUACCUUUAAACUGAUCUUCACAACCAAAGAAUUUGUUUCCCAAGAAACUGAAAGCCUAAUUUGUAAAGGAAAGACAUGUUCUAGAUCAUCUUCUGAAAGAAAAGGGUGAUGAACAUCCUUCACUGCCUUUUUAGAAUCAUUAUGCCAUUUCAGUGCCUGCAACCACAUUGUCCCAGAGACCAAAGCACACUCCUGACCAGAAAACCCUUCAGCUGCAUUACUACUUUUCCUGGAGUCCUCUAUCUCCCUUAAAUCCAGUACAAUUUCCAUAUCAUCAUCAUCAUUACUUACUGACACAUCAUACAAGACUCCCGUUUCAUUAGCACCAAUUUGCGUCUCCCUCCACCAACUGCAGGGAACCAAGUAAAGCUUGUCAACGCCAUUGUCGUCAUCGUCGAGAAAGUAACGGUAAGAGUGAUUGGAAGUGGAGGCAGAGGAGAAUUCGAGGUCGAGGAAGUUAUCGUCGGCGGUGGAGAACAAAUCGUCAUCCAUUAGAGAAGGGACAAGAGCUAGGGUUUUGAGGAAGAAAGAGCGAGCGAGGGAUUUGCAGAGUCGGAAAGUGGAGAGAGAAAAGUAAGAAAGCUUGAGAGAGAGGAAGCGGGUGGAUUCGGUGAUUAGCGAGAGACGCAGCUGCUGUGCGAGACGGUUCAUAGAGACA
rnacentral:misc_RNA from 1 species